rnacentral:rRNA from 1 species
GCUCUCUUGGCGGCGAGUGGCGGACGGGUGAGUAAUAUAUCGGAACGUGCCCAGUAGCGGGGGAUAACUACUCGAAAGAGUGGCUAAUACCGCAUACGCCCUACGGGGGAAAGGGGGGGAUCGCAAGACCUCUCACUAUUGGAGCGGCCGAUAUCGGAUUAGCUAGUUGGUGGGGUAAAGGCUCACCAAGGCAACGAUCCGUAGCUGGUUUGAGAGGACGACCAGCCACACUGGGACUGAGACACGGCCCAGACUCCUACGGGAGGCAGCAGUGGGGAAUUUUGGACAAUGGGGGAAACCCUGAUCCAGCCAUCCCGCGUGUAUGAUGAAGGCCUUCGGGUUGUAAAGUACUUUUGGCAGAGAAGAAAAGGUAUCCCCUAAUACGGGAUACUGCUGACGGUAUCUGCAGAAUAAGCACCGGCUAACUACGUGCCAGCAGCCGCGGUAAUACGUAGGGUGCAAGCGUUAAUCGGAAUUACUGGGCGUAAAGCGUGUGUAGGCGGUUCGGAAAGAAAGAUGUGAAAUCCCAGGGCUCAACCUUGGAACUGCAUUUUUAACUGCCGAGCUAGAGUAUGUCAGAGGGGGGUAGAAUUCCACGUGUAGCAGUGAAAUGCGUAGAU